AACGAACGCUGGCGGCAUGCCUAACACAUGCAAGUCGAACGAGAUCUUCGGGUCUAGUGGCGCACGGGUGCGUAACGCGUGGGAAUCUGCCCUUUGGUUCGGAAUAACAGUUGGAAACGACUGCUAAUACCGGAUGAUGACGAAAGUCCAAAGAUUUAUCGCCAGAGGAUGAGCCCGCGUAGGAUUAGCUAGUUGGUGUGGUAAAGGCGCACCAAGGCGACGAUCCUUAGCUGGUCUGAGAGGAUGAUCAGCCACACUGGGACUGAGACACGGCCCAGACUCCUACGGGAGGCAGCAGUGGGGAAUAUUGGACAAUGGGCGAAAGCUUGAUCCAGCAAUGCCGCGUGAGUGAUGAAGGCCUUAGGGUUGUAAAGCUCUUUUACCCGGGAUGAUAAUGACAGUACCGGGAGAAUAAGCUCCGGCUAACUCCGUGCCAGCAGCCGCCGUAA
rnacentral:rRNA from 1 species